UACGGAGGGUGCAAGCGUUAUCCGGAUUCACUGGGUUUAAAGGGUGCGUAGGCGGGCAGGUAAGUCAGUGGUGAAAUCUCCGAGCUUAACUCGGAAACUGCCGUUGAUACUAUUUGUCUUGAAUAUUGUGGAGGUAAGCGGAAUAUGUCAUGUAGCGGUGAAAUGCUUAGAUAUGACAUAGAACACCAAUUGCGAAGGCAGCUUACUACACAAACGUUGACGCUGAGGCACGAAAGCGUGGGGAUCAAACAGG
rnacentral:rRNA from 1 species